GAUGAACGCUCGCGGCAGGCCUAACACAUGCAAGUCGAGGGAUAAGCCUUCGGGCUAAGACCGGCGCACGGGUGCGUAACGCGUAUACAAUCUGCCUUUUAUCCGGGGGAUAGCCCGAAGAAAUUUGGAUUAAUACCCUAUGGUAUAAGAGCACGGCAUCGUGCACUUAUUAAAGCUACGGCGGUAAAAGAUGAGUAUGCGUUCUAUUAGCUAGUUGGAGAGGUAACGGCUCCCCAAGGCGACGAUAGAUAGGGGUUCUGAGAGGGAUGUCCCCCACACUGGUACUGAGAUACGGACCAGACUCCUACGGGAGGCAGCAGUGAGGAAUAUUGGACAAUGGUCGGUAGACUGAUCCAGCCAUGCCGCGUGCAGGAUGACGGCCUUAUGGGUUGUAAACUGCUUUUGUAAGGGAAGAAUAAGGAGUACGUGUACUUUGAUGACGGUACCUUACGAAUAAGCAUCGGCUAACUCCGUG
rnacentral:rRNA from 1 species